rnacentral:rRNA from 1 species
UGGGGGAUAUUGCACAAUGGAGGAAACUCUGAUGCAGCGACGCCGCGUGAGGGAAGAAGGCCUUCGGGUUGUAAACCUCAGUAGUCAGGGACGAAGAAAUGACGGUACCUGAAGAGUAAGCUCCGGCUAACUACGUGCCAGCAGCCGCGGUAAUACGUAGGGAGCGAGCGUUGUCCGGAAUUACUGGGUGUAAAGGGUGCGUAGGUGGGACUGCAAGUCAGGCGUGAAAUACCGGGGCUCAACUCCGGGGCUGCGCUUGAAACUGUAGUUCUUGAGUGAAGUAGAGGCAGGCGGAAUUCCUAGUGUAGCGGUGAAAUGCGUAGAUAUUAGGAGGAACACCAGUGGCGAAGGCGGCCUGCUGGGCUUUAACUGACGCUGAGGCACGAAAGCAUGGGGAGCAAACAGG